rnacentral:rRNA from 1 species
UACGGGGGGGGCAAGCGUUGUUCGGAAUUACUGGGCGUAAAGGGAGCGUAGGCGGCGUGGUAAGUCAGAUGUGAAAUCCCGGGGCUCAACCCCGGAACUGCAUCCGAUACUGCCAUGCUAGAGGAUUGGAGAGGUAGCUGGAAUUCUUGGUGUAGCAGUGAAAUGCGUAGAGAUCAAGAGGAACACUCGUGGCGAAAGCGAGCUACUGGACAAUUCCUGACGCUGAGGCUCGAAGGCUAGGGUAGCGAAAGGG